GUUUGAAACCAGGGAAAGGCUUAUGUUUGAAACCAUUCCUGUGCACUUAUAAAACAAAAUCUGUAAAGGACCAGGGAAAAGCAGAUUGCUUCAGCAAUGGGAGCAGGUAUCUCCAUCUGAAAAAUGAGAUGCUUCACAUGGGAACAAAAUGUUUUUGACCACACAGAACCGAUGACAAGAAAUCUGAAUUUCUCUUCCUCGAGGAGUUUCAAAGUGUUGAUGGAUUGUCCUGAUGCACAACAUGAAACCCUUCCAAAAUCUUACAGCUCUUCAGGGAACAGGAAAAAUCUUCCCACACACUUCUUGCGGCAAGAUGUGGAGAAUUUUUAAGAGUGCCUCAUUACCGACCACUAAUUAAAUCUGCUGUGGAAGAAAUGUGGGGUGAAAUGCUGCCAGCCUGGAGCUGCUGGCAAAGCUCCCACUGACUUCAGUGGCACUCAAGUGUUGCUUUUUGGGUUUUGGUCUAAUCAGAAGAUGAUCAUUGUAAUUAUAUAUUAUCUGGUAACAUCUGGGAUCUCCAAUUAAAUCUCCGGCCUCAUGGCACUGGGCAAGUAAAGAGGUUUAUUUGGGUUUUAGGUCAUUCAUCAUAGGGAAAAUCCUGACAAGUGCCUGCCCAGAACCAAAGGAUUUUAUUUUUUUUUUCCUGGGGGCCCACAGCCCCCUUUGAAGCCAGAGUGUUUCCAGAGUGUGUGUUUGGGCCUGGGAGGAUUAUCAGCCCCAAACAAGAAGGACCCAGGGGUUGGGGUAGGGGCCAGACAUCCUGGGGAAGGCUGGCUGGAGUUCCAUGUGGGAUGUGGCACCAGAACAACACCCAGAACACAGGAGAGAAGGGCUGGGCUCUGCCUUGAGGGGGCUGAGCUGCCCCAGGCUGUGCUGUGAGCCAGAGAUGUGAAAAUUCAGAGUAUCAGGGUCCUCAGAUCAGUGAAAUUCACAGCUGGGGCCUGGCUUGGUGGUGACUUUCCUAAUUCCCCCCUAAAACUGAUUUAAAUUCCUCACUGGUUUGUUUUUCCCUUCCCUGUGACACUCCUUGAUCUAUGUAGUUCAAUUAAAAGGCAGCAUGAGGGCAGUGUCUACAAGAAUUUGUUUAUUUCCACAUUUUGCCUCCAACAGAAGUUCUCUAAAUGCUCUGCUUCUACAGCAACAUAUUUUCCACUUCUUUUUAUUUCCCUCUCCUCCAAGCUGCUAGAACUUUGCUUUAAAGCUGCAGUGUGAGUUAACAAGUGAGUGCCCAAAUCCCUGCCUGUUGCUAUAAAGUGAAUUUCCCAUUUGUGACCAUUCAUCUGAUGAGUCAGGCUAACAGAAAGAGGCUCAGAUUUGGUUUCCUGAAUUCCCUCUUUGCUCACAGGAGCACUGCAAUGAAAGGAGACUUUUCUGGCUGUGUUUUACCUUGUCUCUCAGCAGUGCUUUUGAUCUAGAUCCCUUCCUGUUUAAUCUGUGAAGUUAAUUGUGGAUGAAAAAAGACAGAAUUAGGUCUCUGUCAUGGCACCACAGUGUUGGAUUCCUUGGGGAUGCUGCAGAUGAGACAUCUCCCACCAGCAGGUGUCUGAGAAUUAGUAAAUAAAUCCUUUAUUUUCUACA
rnacentral:lncRNA from 1 species